GACGAACGCUGGCGGCGUGCUUAACACAUGCAAGUCGAACGAAGUGGCGAACGGGUGAGUAACGCGUAAUCAACCUGCCCUUCAGAGGGGUACAACAGCUGGAAACGACUGCUAAUACCGCAUACAGAAGGAGGGGAGGGCGUCGGAUUAGCUGGUUGGAGGGGUAAAGGCCCACCAAGGCGGUGAUCAGUAGCCGGGCUGAGAGGAGGAACGGCCACAUAUGGACUGGGAAACGGCCCAGACUCCUACGGGGGGCAGCAGGGGGGGAACUUCCGAAAGGGACGAAAGUCUGACGGAGCAACGCCGCGGGGGUGAUGACGGCCUUCGGGUUGUAAAGAUCUGUUAAUCGGGACGCGGUACCGGCAUAGAAAGCCACGGCUAACUACGUGCCAGCCGCCGCGGUAAUAC
rnacentral:rRNA from 1 species